GUAUUGAAUACUCUGCAGCAGGCC
rnacentral:piRNA from 1 species